AGAACGAACGCUGGCGGCAGGCUUAACACAUGCAAGUCGAGCGCCCCGCAAGGGGAGCGGCAGACGGGUGAGUAACGCGUGGGAACAUACCCUCCGGUUCGGAAUAGCUCAGGGAAACUUGGAUUAAUACCGGAUACGGCCUAGCGGCGAAAGAUUCAUCGCCGGAGGAUUGGCCCGCGUUCGAUUAGCUAGUUGGUGAGGUAACGGCUCACCAAGGCGACGAUCGAUAGCUGGUCUGAGAGGAUGAUCAGCCACAUUGGGACUGAGACACGGCCCAAACUCCUACGGGAGGCAGCAGUGGGGAAUAUUGGACAAUGGGCGCAAGCCUGAUCCAGCCAUGCCGCGUGAGUGAUGACGGCCCUAGGGUUGUAAAGCUCUUUCGCUAGGGACGAUAAUGACGGUACCUAGACAAGAAGCCCCGGCUAACUUCGUGCCAGCAGCCGC
rnacentral:rRNA from 1 species